GAUGAACGCUGGCGGUAUGCCUAAUACAUGCAAGUCGAGCGAACAGACGAGGAGCUUACUCCUCUGACGUUAGCGGCGGACGGGUGAGUAACACGUGGAUAACCUACCUAUAAGACUGGGAUAACUUCGGGAAACCGGAGCUAAUACCGGAUAACAUGUUGAACCGCAUGGUUCAACAGUGAAAGACGGUCUUGCUGUCACUUAUAGAUGGAUCCGCGUCGCAUUAGCUAGUUGGUAAGGUAACGGCUUACCAAGGCAACGAUGCGUAGCCGACCUGAGAGGGUGAUCGGCCACACUGGAACUGAGACACGGUCCAGACUCCUACGGGAGGCAGCAGUAGGGAAUCUUCCGCAAUGGGCGAAAGCCUGACGGAGCAACGCCGCGUGAGUGAAGAAGGUCUUCGGAUCGUAAAACUCUGUUAUUAGGGAAGAACAAAUGUGUAAGUAACUAUGCACGUCUUGACGGUACCUAAUCAGAAAGCCACGGCUAACUACGUG
rnacentral:rRNA from 1 species